GCGCUGCGUCAGUCGCCCACGGUGGCAGCGGCAGCGGCAGCCCCGCGAUGGCUAAGGAAUGCGGCGGCUCCGCAUAACCACGGGGUCAGAGGUCACGGCUCCGGCCUCCGCGUUCCCGCGCUGCUGGGAAACCCAAGAGCGAACUAGUGGCGGGCGGGCCCGGAUGGCGAGACGCGGCUUUCCUUUCGACGCUCGGAUGCGUGCGUGUCUGCCGUGGAGAAUGCACCUGCAGUUUCCAGCAGCGUUGCCGCCAGGUGAAUUUGAUGAUCCGAUAGUAGGUGACCUUUGAAAGUUAACAGGGGUGCCAUGGGCUGAGUAAGAUAAACGGAACUGCUGUUCAACCCCGCCCAGUCUGGGGAUGAGUCAUUGUUUUCAAAUUUAUGAACAAAGCACACAAAUUAAGAAUAAUACAAGCAAGAAACAGCAGAGAGACACAAAAGGACAUAGAAUCCCUGAUCCUCACUGUGAUCUGGUAACACUAGUUCUAGGGCUGGAGAGAGAGAUGCUCAGGGCAAGUGCUCUUACAGAGAACAUGAGUUCAAUUCCCAGAACCCACAUGGUACCUCACAACUGCCUAUUUCAUACAUGUGGGGCAGAACACCGAUACACAUACUUUUUUUUUUAAGAAUUGAAAAAAAAAAAAAAUUGGUUCUGGACUCCAGUGGGUCUGAGUUUGAAACCGUAGCUGUUCUCCAGUUGUGUGGCCUUGAAUAAGUUAUGCAACUUCAUCAACCAAGCACUGUCAUUGGACAGCAGAGAAUAUGACAAAAGUCAACGGGCGAUCUGAACAAGUGGCACAUGCUUGCAUACUUGGAUGACACAGUUCGAGAAGCACUUGAACCCUGAAGUUUACAAACAGCCUCGAUAACACAGGAAGACCCCAUCUCAGAAGAAUAGAUGAGAUCACUAUUUCUCAGCUUCAGCAUUGCAGAUGAUCAGCUAAUGUGGAACUCUCCAGCCCCUUUGCACAUUGCAUUUCUUUGCAUGGCUUUUGGUUGGUAACUAUACAUUUGGCAUCUGUUUGGAUUUUUUUUCUGUAUACCCCAAAUGCCAGCCAUAGUCUUGGGCAUAUAGUAGGCAGUCAAACUGUUGGUGUAUGAACCAUUCUCAGUAAUUCUUUUGUUGUAGACAGUCUCUGAGGAAUUAUCCCCUAUUGAAUGGUCUCAUAACAGUUUUGGAAAGCGCUCAUGUAGGGAAAAAACUAAGAUAAGAUUUUACCCAGGAAGGUCUCCACAAGUGCAAAGUAGAGACUUCAGGACAUUCCCAGUCUCGUUGUGUUGCCAAAUCUACCCUCACAAUGCAUGACUUAACUCAUAAAUCCUGGGCCAGUCACAGUUUUUUAAAUUCUACUCUUUAGUCUCCCAUGCUCUGGAGAAGGUAUUUAAAUUGCCAAAAUGUUUAACAAUAGUUCUCUAGGUUUUAUAAGACUAGUUAGUUUACUGGUAAUUUUUCUGUACAAAAAAAUUGCAUUGGGCUGGUGAGAUGGCUCAGUGGGUAAGAGCACCCAACUGCUCUUCUGAAGGUCUGAAGUUCAAAUCCCAGCAACCACAUGGUGGCUCACAACCAUCCAUAAUGAGAUCUAACUCCCUCUUCUGGAGUGUCUGAAGACAACUACAGUGUACUUACAUAUAAUAAAAAUAAAUAAAUCUUUAAAAAAAA
rnacentral:lncRNA from 1 species